rnacentral:sRNA from 1 species
UGAAAAUAAUGUUAAAUUAUAUUCAAUGAAAAAUAGCGUUUGUACAACUAGUGCAUCAUGAGAUUGAAAUGAGUUACAAGAAUUUGCUACUUAAUUUCGAGAGUCGAACCAAGUUUGUAAUCCCUUAU